rnacentral:rRNA from 1 species
CCUACGGGGGCAGCAGUGAGGAAUUUUGCGCAAUGGGGGGAACCCUGACGCAGCAACGCCGCGUGGGUGCUGAAGGCCUUCGGGUCGUAAAGCCCUGUCGGGCGGGAAGAACGUCCCUUCGGGGAAUGACGGUACCGCCAGAGGAAGCACCGGCUAACUCCGUGCCAGCAGCCGCGGUACUACGGAGGGUGCAAGCGUUAUUCGGAAUUACUGGGCGUAAAGGGCGUGCAGGCGGGAGAGCAAGUCUGAUGUGAAAGCCCGGGGCUUAACCCCGGAAGGGCAUUGGAAACUGCUGUUCUUGAGUGCUGGAGAGGAAGGGAGAAUUCCCGGUGUAGAGGUGAAAUUCGUAGAGAUCGGGAGGAACAUCAGUGGCGAAGGCGCCCUUCUGGACAGCAACUGACGCUGAGACGCGAAAGCGUGGGGAGCAAACA